GAGAAGGCUAAACUAGCAUGGCGAUGGUUGUCCAUGUUUAAGGUAGUAGGCUGAGCGUUUAGGCAAAUCCGGACGCUUAAGGCUGAGAACUGAUGACGAGAUUCUUUUUAAGAAUUGAAGUGGUCGAUGCUCUGCUUCCAGGAAAAUCCUCUAAGCUUCAGAUAUAAACGAACCGUACCCCAAACCGACACAGGUGGUCAGGUAGAGAAUACCAAGGCGCUUGAGAGAACUCGGGUGAAGGAACUCGGCAAAAUAGUACCGUAACUUCGGGAGAAGGUACGCCCUUUUUGGUGAUCGGACUUGCUCCGUAAGCUAGAGAGGGCCGAAGAUACCAGUUAGCUGCGACUGUUUAUUAAAAACACAGUACUCUGCAAACACGAAAGUGGACGUAUAGGGUAUGACACCUGCCCGGUGCUCGAAGGUUAAUUGAUGGGGUUAGCUUAGGCGAAGCUCUUGAUCGAAGCCCGAGUAAACGGCGGCCGUAACAAUAACGGUCCUAAGGUAGCGAAAUUCCUUGUCGGGUA
rnacentral:rRNA from 1 species